GACCAGGAGGUUGCUGAGCUGAGGAGGAGAGAUGUUGAAUUGAAGCAGCUCUCACACACAGAGGAUCACAUCCAUUUCCUCCAGAGUUUCCAGUCUCUCUGUGUCUCUCCUGGAUCUGAGGUCUUACCCAGUAUCACUGUCUAUCCACACAUCUCCUUUGAGCAUGUAAAGAAAUCAGUCUCUGAACUGAAAGAUCAAAUACAGGAUGUUUCCCAAAAGGAAAUGGACAGGAUAUCUUGGGAAGUGACUACAGGUCAGAUUGGAUCACCUGCUGAGCCCAAGACCAGAGAGGAUUUCUUAACAUGUGAGGAAAUACAACCACACACACACACAC